AUACGGAGGACGCGAGCGUUAUCCGGAUUCAUUGGGUUUAAAGGGUGCGCAGGCGGCCGUGCAAGUCAGCGGUGAAAGCCCGGGGCUCAACCCCGGAAGUGCCGUUGAUACUGCAUGGCUGGAAUGCGGUCGAGGCGGGCGGAACGUGGCGGGUAGCGGGGAAAUGCGUAGAUAUGCCACAGAACGCCGAUAGCGGAGGCGGCUCGCCAGGCCUGCAUUGACGCUCGGGCACGAAAGCGUGGGGAUCGAACAGGAUUAGAUACCCUGGUAGUCCACGCCGUAAACGAUGGGCGCUCGUCGUCGGCGGCAGACAGUCGGCGGCCAAGCGAAAGCGAUAAGCGCCCCACCUGGGGAGUACGGUCGCAAGGCUGAAACUCAAAUGAAUUGACGGGG
rnacentral:rRNA from 1 species